UCGAGCGGAAGGCCCUUCGGGGUACUCGAGCGGCGAACGGGUGAGUAACACGUGAGCAACCUGCCCUAGGCUUUGGGAUAACCCUCGGAAACGGGGGCUAAUACCGAAUAUUCACUUGCGGGCGCAUGUUUGUGGGUGGAAAGUUUUUCGGCUUGGGAUGGGCUCGCGGCCUAUCAGCUUGUUGGUGGGGUGAUGGCCUACCAAGGCGACGACGGGUAGCCGGCCUGAGAGGGCGACCGGCCACACUGGGACUGAGACACGGCCCAGACUCCUACGGGAGGCAGCAGUGGGGAAUAUUGCACAAUGGGCGGAAGCCUGAUGCAGCGACGCCGCGUGAGGGAUGACGGCCUUCGGGUUGUAAACCUCUUUCAGCAGGGACGAAGCGCGAGUGACGGUACCUGCAGAAGAAGCGCCGGCCAACUACGUGCCAGCAGCCGCGGUAAGACGUAGGGCGCGAGCGUUGUCCGGAUUUAUUGGGCGUAAAGAGCUCGUAGGCGGCUUGUCGCGUCGACUGUGAAAACCCACGGCUCAACUGUGGGCUUGCAGUCGAUACGGGCAGGCUAGAGUUCGGUAGGGGAGACUGGAAUUCCUGGUGUAGCGGUGAAAUGCGCAGAUAUCAGGAGGAACACCGGUGGCGAAGGCGGGUCUCUGGGCCGAAACUGACGCUGA
rnacentral:rRNA from 1 species